GUAGCGCCUCGUGAACUCAUCUUCGGGGGUAGAGCACUGUUUCGGCUAGGGGGUCAUCCCGACUUACCAACCCGAUGCAAACUACGAAUACCGAAGAAUGUUAUCACGGGAGACACACGGCGGGUGCUAACGUCCGUCGUGAAGAGGGAAACAACCCAGACCGCCAGCUAAGGUCCCAAAGUCAUGGUUAAGUGGGAAACGAUGUGGGAAGGCACAGACAGCCAGGAUGUUGGCUUAGAAGCAGCCAUCAUUUAAAGAAAGCGUAAUAGCUCACUGGUCGAGUCGGCCUGCGCGGAAGAUGUAACGGGGCUAAACCAUGCACCGAAGCUGCGGCAGCGACACUAUGUGUUGUUGGGUAGGGGAGCGUUCUGUAAGCCUGCGAAGGUGUGCUGUGAGGCAUGCUGGAGGUAUCAGAAGUGCGAAUGCUGACAUAAGUAACGAUAAAGCGGGUGAAAAGCCCGCUCGCCGGAAGACCAAGGGUUCCUGUCCAACGUUAAUCGGGGCAGGGUGAGUCGACCCCUAAGGCGAGGCCGAAAGGCGUAGUCGAUGGGAAACAGGUUAAUAUUCCUGUACUUGGUGUUACUGCGAAGGGGGGACGGAGAAGGCUAUGUUAGCCGGGCGACGGUUGUC
rnacentral:rRNA from 1 species